rnacentral:lncRNA from 1 species
AAGUGUUCAUAUCUGUAGACAUUUCCACAAGGAUUUCCAGGGUUUAUUAUAAGCAUAGCAGCAGUAUUCUCAUCUGCCAGAGACUCAACAGCCUCGAGAUCAACCUCCCAGCCCUUAUCAGGUAAAAGAUCAAAAUGGCGAACCUCAAUAUUAUUAUGUCCAGCAAUAGCUUCAUAGUAUGGGAAUCCUGGUUUUGGUAGCAAAAUGUUAGCCCCAGGUCGUCCAAGAACUGAUAAUGUGAUUUCAAUAGCUUGUGUGCAUCCCAGUGUAACAAAAACAUCAUCUGGCGAUAGCUUGUAUGGAAGAUCACGAUUAAGGUAAUCUGCAAUAGCCCUGUUGGAGCUCAAAAAACAUCAAAUAAAGAAAAUAAGAAACGUUGUCCAAAUUUCCGUAGAUUGUUUUAUCAGUUUUGUGUAAGUUUAAAAAGUCUUUUUUUUUUUUUUUUUUUAUUAUUGUUAUUUAACUUUAAAGUAAGUCAUUCUACUCCUCUUACACUAACUUUCUUAAAGAAGGUCAGUGCAUUCUCUAGUUAUAUUAUCUGAAAAAUAUUAUAAAUUAAUGCAUCUUCCAUCGUUCCAUAACCAUUUACUUCUAAAAAAAAUUAAGGAAUUUACUCGCCUUGACAGACUAAAACAAUGAAAAUAUAAAAUUUUUAAAAAAUUAUUCUUACUUCAUCCUUUUUUUUUUUUUUUUUGAUACGGUUAGAAAUAUCUUUCUUUCUAUAAAAAUUUUUAUUUUCAUAAGUCUAAAACAUCGGUUAAGUAAUGAAUCCGAUAAGACAAAUUAAUUUGCAUACCAUAUUAAUGUAAAUUUUGUUAUUUACUUAUAUAGACUGUGUCUAUAUAUAGGAUAUAUAUGGACGAAACUAAUGAAAAUAUAAAUUUUGAUUGAAAACUAUGCAGAAAAAAUAGAGAUUAUAUUCAAAAUGUUUUUAUUUUUCAUUGGUUUAGUCUAUAAAUGAUUAAUUUGCAUAACUAAAUACAUAAAUUUUAGGAUUGAUUUGCAUAUACUGAACCCAUAUACAGCACAUACAUCGAAUAAAUCAAUGAAAAUGGAAAUUUUUGUUAAAAGAAUGGCCAUAGAAAAUUAAAAAAAAAAAAAAGAGGAAUCUUAUUCCUAGAAAGUAUCUCCAGUUACUUCCAAAAGAAUAGCACAUCCUGGACAAAAAUGAGGCCCAGGUCUCUGCAAUUCUUUUGAAAGUUGCUUAAAACUCCUGUGUGCACUUGAAACACAUGUACUAUAUUGCAAGGUAUCUACCUCAAGACAUUUAAAGCCAAAAGAAACAGCUUAAGUGCACCUAAUAAAUAAACUACAAAUAACAAAUAUGAAGUUGUAGCAGCAAAUGUCACCACAAUAAAAUAGUAAUAUAAAUUGAGUGCGCAAAACAUGUUAACACACAACCCCAACUAAUCUCCAAAUAAUAAUAUCAUUAUUAUUAUUCAUUAAUAAUUUAAUUCUAAUCCUGAUGAUCGCACGCUGGAGUUAUAGAGCCGGCAUUUGGGGAGAAUUUCGAAACAUAAUAGCUCUCUGAUGCAAAAAAGAUUAAUCUCUCGUUUAAUCGUUUAAUCGUUAAAUUGAGAUGUAAGAAAAAAUUAAUUCUAGCACGGCAUAUGAGAAAUUAAAAAUAAUAUUUUUAACUAAUUUUUGAUAUUAUAUUUUCAAAACUGAGUUAUGUUUCAGUAAGAAAUUAUGGUUGCGUGGUAUAUGAGAAAUACUUAAAGGAAAGAGAGCUCGCAUACUUCCAAACAAUAAAUAAAAUUAUAAUAAUUGAGAAAAAAAAAAAAAAGAAAAGAGGAAAGUUGAUAUUUUGGAGAAGUUAUUGUACCUUCUAGCAGGAAGAAUACCAACAGUUGGAGAAUAGCAGUUAUAUUUGGCCGAAUUUACAGCCUCGAUAAUAGCAUCUACAGCCGUGGAAGCGGUAUGAAAGCAUGGGAAAGAAGAAGGGUCGCCAUGGCCGAGACGAAUGACUGGUCUAUCGUCUUCUUUGUUAAGAUUAGCCAUUAUAGUGUUCAGAGCACCACGAACGGUUAUUGAUGACGCUGCAAUGAGGCCUUUGUCUGCCUGAAAACACCACUUCUUUUAUCCAUUCUCCAUCUCUCCUCCUUCUGGCCUCUGCUGAGCUGAGCUUGCUAUGGGAACUUUUUCAGAGGUGAGAACCACGUGUUACGCUUAAUAAUUUUGUUGCAAAGUCCGAAAAGACCAUUUAACCCUCAAUAAUCUCUUACAAUUUCUAUUAAGGAUUAAAUUAACAAACCGGUUUCAAUGGAUUCCAUCUUCUAAAAAUUUCGUGAAAUUUAAUCCAUAUAUUCAAAUAAAUACCUAAUAAAUUUAAUAUCUGGAUGUUUUUUCACUAGAAAAUAAUUAAUAAAUAAUUAAAAAUUUUUCUACCCAAGACAGAUUUUUUUUCUACACAGAUUGUGAUGUGAUGACCUAUGAGGGUAAGACUUGUAUCAAUAGCAAACGAAUAGUAGCCAUUAGAUUGCACUAUUUAAAAUUUAACCAUUAGAUGAAAUAAUAGAUAAAAGAUCUAAUAUGUUUAGUCAUUCAUAUUUAAUAUGUAGAAAGUUACUAUUGAAAAAUAAUUCUAAUUAUUAUAACAAUGUUAAAAACAAAAUCAUUUUUGUCAAUUUAAUUUCUGAAAAUUUUAUUUUUCAUAAAAAAAAUGAAACAGGUUUAUUAUUUUAUAUAAGUUAAGAAUGUAUAUUAUUUAAUAUUCCUAUUUAUUUAUAAACAAGCGUUUGUUUUUUCAAAUAUUAUGUUGUUAUUUUGUUUUUUGAUUUUUUUUUUACAAAAAAAGGGAAAACUAUGAUUUAACAAUUAAACCUUUCAAAAACAAUUUUAAUGAGUUUAAUUUUUUGAGUUUUUUAUAAUUCAAAGAAAUAAGUUGAUUUGAAUUCUGUAGAAUUUUAAUUUUUUUUUUUAAGUAAAAAUAUAUUUUAUAAAUUGUAGACAACUAGACAAGUACACAGUGGCCCAUUGGACAAAAUAUAUGGGUCGAGACAGGCCCAUUAUAUACAACAAUGAUCCGUAUGUAGUAAGUCUUGACACAGCCCAUCAUUUAAACUUUAGACUUCACGCGAAUUUUAGGAGCAUGGAAUUUUAAGAAGCGCCUCUAUUACGUGGAUAAAACGUACGGUCAGCAAAAAGGAGAUUGCAUGGAGAUGGAAACAACGAAAAUAGAAAAUAAAAACAAAAAUAAAAUUGACAGGCACAACGCGGGUAUUGUUGCCAGUCAGUUGCUUCUACUAUGUGACUGUUGAUAUUGAAGACGCGUCAAGCACAAGACAAUGACGCGUGUCCGUUUUGUAUUGGUUAGCCUUUAUUCUCUCUCUUUCUUAUUUAACUGUCGGCUCAACAGAGCUAUUGAAAAGGAGAGACACAAAGAGAGAUGGACGACGAUGCGGUGGAUAAUGAUGCGACUGUCGUUAGUCGUUAGUCGUUAGAAUUGGUCUUUAUCUGAACCAUUAGAACUUGCACAUAUGCCCGUUCUCCGUGGGAGAGCGUAUAUGCACGCUCCAUAUAUGAAUUUUAAUAUUUCUCACAUUAUUGAUGAUUUUGCAAUAUAGCCUUCAUUAAUGUGAACAAUGAUUUUAUUUUUUAAAAGAGGUAGCUAAUGAAUUGCUGAUUUAAGAUGGUGUCCCGAAUUUCUCUAUUUUCUUUAUGUUUAUGUGCAUAACUUGCCUUCGAUUUUGCUUUUCUAUGGAAAAAAAAUCUGCCACGUGCUCGAGAUAGUUCUUUAAUUUGCUUGGUAUUUGUUUUGCUUCCUCUGUAGCAUCUCUCUGAGAAAGUGUCAUAUUCUUCUUUACUGGUUUUUCUCUGGCUGAAGUUAGAAUCAUGCUUUGCAAUCUUCUGCAUCUUUUCAUCUCCUGUGUUGGAUUUAUUUACUGAUGGAAGGGCAGACUUCAUAAUUUUAAAGAAACAUGCAUUCCAAUUUCUCUGGCAUUUCUAGAAAAAGAAAACAGAUCAUGGGCUCAAAGAUUUCAUCUUGGACAUCAAUGAUCGUAGGUUUUGCAAUGCAUGGUUAUGUCGAUGAAGCGAUUGAAUGCUUUCACUGCAUGAGAGAAGCUGGAGUGAGACCUAACCAGGUCACCUUUACAAGAGUGCUAAGUGCCUGUGUCCAUGGCUGUAAAGUAAAAGAGGGGAAGUAUUUUUUUGAUAUGAUGAGGAAUGCUUAUGAUAUAAUGCCAGAGAUAAAACACUAUGGAUGCAUGGUGGAUCUGCUUGGCCGAGUAGGGCUACUUGAAGAGGCUAGAGAGAUUGUGGAGGGGAUGCCAAUGAAGCCGAACGUGGUGAUAUGGGGGUGUUUGAUGGGUGCCUGUGAGAAAUAUGGGGAUGUGAAGAUGGGGGAAUGGGUUGCAGGAGUUAGAACCUUGGAAUGACGGGGGUUUUGUGGUUUUAUCUAAUAUAUACGCUAGUAAAGCUUUAUGGCAAGAAGUUGAGAGGGUGAGAGUAGGCAUGAAGACGCAAAGGCUAGCUAAAAUCCCUGCUUAUAGUUUGGCAACAAGCUCUGACUGAAAGCUUUAACUUUUCUAUUUGGUGAGCCAAUGACCAAGUCUUUGUCCUGCAUUUCACUAAAUCUGAGGAUUUAUGCCUCUCUAUUAGUAUUGAAGUGUUGGGUGAAAUGAGUUUCUUUCAAUAAUGAAGAACGUGUUAGCAGUAACUAAAGUCAUCUUUAUCUGGUCAGCAUUGCAACCUGUUACUCUUUGGUGUUUUAGAACCAGCAGUAACGGACACAUCCAGGUUGAGCAGAGACGUCUUACAACAGGAAGACAAGUUGCGAGGGUUGGAAACCACUUGUUUAAGCCAAAGAAAUUUUCUAGAGAAGGCCAAAUUUGCUCUGCCUUGACGUCUUUGAUCUCUGCAGAAGUUUUUCCUUCCCGCUUUGGCUGUUGUUGAUAGAUAGCAACUGAUUUUUUAUCCAAUUAGUUAGUACCUUGCUUACUUGUAUAUUAAAGUGAGAUGUACACAUUUUUAAGUAAAAUUUGUCGAAAAUAAAUUAUUUUGGACGAGAGAUAAAUGAAUUUUUUAUUAAUGAUGAAAUUUAAAUCACUUAAUUUUGAUUCUAGAUUUUAUUGCCAAUCUACACCACUUAAUUAGCUUUGAUUUGCACAUGAUUAUUCAAAAAUAAUAAGGAUUUUAUGAUCAAAUUGCAACGACAAAACAUUUUAGUUUUUUUUUUUAGUAUUGGAGAGGGGAAACGAUUUGUUUUAUUUUUUUUGUUUGUUAAUAUUGGAGAGGGAAAUUCGAACUUGUAUUUAUUGUCGGGUCAUAUAUGCCACGUUUUAGUUAAAGUUCAUGUUUAUUCUCCUACCACUAUGAUACACAAUGGUGCUGGCAAAAAUGAAUAAAUGUGAAAACACAAAAUUAAGACAGAUUUGGAGCUCUUAUAAAAAAGUUCAGAAAUUUUACUGGUAGAUUUACCAACAACAUCUAACAUAGUUCAAGGACUUCCAUUAUCUGAAUUACAUACUCUCAUCCAUUAUGGAGAUUAUGUGCUUGAACAAACAACAACUUACUAAUUACCAAAAGGAUCCAACCUAGAAUUAGAUCCUUGAUGAUAGAAUAGACAUCUAAUGGCACUUACCCUCGAGAUCCAACGCGGAGUUGUUGAUCUUUAAGAAGGAAAUCCGUUUAUUGACGAGGAUCAAUGGCAUGCAUGUCCUCACGGCUUCUUGGCAUGCCUUUCACAGAAAUCUUUUAUUCUCCGAAAGCCAACUUCAAGAGUUGAAGGCUCAAUGGCAAAAGAUAUGCGAAGCCAAUUUUUCAUUCCCACACAUAUUCCUGCAAAUAAGAUCACAAAAUGUUAUAAGUAUCAAUGUCAACUGUCUAUUUAAGCUAUCCGCCAUUUUUACCUGGUAGAACUAUGACUGAUUCCUCCUUAGCAAGCUUGAGACAGAAGUCCAUGUCGUCCUUAAUGCCUUCCAAUAGUGACAAGUUCAAUUUUGCCUGUAAUGAGUUUUCUAGUUAAGGAUUAUCUUCUUUUGGAGAAAUGGAAUUUAUAUAUAUGAUAUUUGAUGCCUCACCAUUACAAACAUAGAACCUUGUGGUCUAUUCGGGCAAGUAAUGCAAGGAAUAUCCUGCAUUCCGUCGCAGCAUAUGUCUACAGCCUCUCUCAGUAAGUUGAGAAUUUUCAGAAAGAAAUCCUCAUUUGUAUUCUCCAGGAUUUCUGGAAUUGCACCCUGAUAGACAUCCAAGAUUGUUUUGACAGGAAAUUUUUUUUUUUUUUUAAAUUUAGGAAGAGCAUCAUUAAUCACAAACCUGAAUGAAUGUUGCAGGAUCAGAUGAGAUGUUGAGAUAGCUAAUUAUUGAAUUAACAACCUAAGACAAACAGAAAAAAGAAAUUGUUAAAAUAAAACCUGAAUUGACAUGACAAUAGAAGAAUAUUCAUAAUCCUUCCAUGAAGAGAGAGAGAGAGAGAAGUGCCAACCCCAUAUUUUCGAAGAAUGUCAUUAGGAUCACUAACAACAAGCCAACCAAUUCUCCAGCCAGGAACGAUCCAUCUCUUCGAUAUGGAUCCAAGUGAAAGAACAGGCACGAUUGAUCCAAAAACUCCCAUUGGAACAAAUGGAGUACUCCCAAAUGUAAGAUGCCCAUAUACUUCGUCAGCAAUCACCAUAAUUCCAAGCUCUCUAGCUGUUUCUGCAAUCUAAUAAAGAACACACAAAUAUGAACGUUGCAGCUCACCAAUUAUGAUUUGAUAUGUCAGGGUGAUAUCAAACAAAAAGAAAUCAGAAAUUUCACCCACUUUCUUCAAGUGUUCAUAUCUGUAGACAUUUCCACAAGGAUUUCCAGGGUUUAUUAUAAGCAUAGCAGCAGUAUUCUCAUCUGCCAGAGACUCAACAGCCUCGAGAUCAACCUCCCAGCCCUUAUCAGGUAAAAGAUCAAAAUGGCGAAUCUCAAUAUUAUUACGUCCAGCAAUAGCUUUAUAGUAUGGGAAUCCUGGUUUUGGUAGCAAAAUGUUAGCCCCAGGUCGUCCAAGAACUGAUAAUGUGAUUUCAAUAGCUUGUGUGCAUCCCAGUGUAACAAAAACAUCAUCUGGCGAUAGCUUGUAUGGAAGAUCACGAUUAAGGUAAUCUGCAAUAGCCCUGU